rnacentral:rRNA from 1 species
UACGUAGGUGGCAAGCGUUGUCCGGAUUUACUGGGCGUAAAGCGCGUGUAGGCGGCUUGUUAAGUCUGUCGUGAAAUCUCCCGGCUUAACCGGGAUAGGUCGACGGAUACUGGCAGGCUUGAGGGGAGCAGAGGAAGGUGGAAUUCCCGGUGUAGUGGUGAAAUGCGUAGAUAUCGGGAGGAACACCAGUGGCGAAGGCGGCCUUCUGGGCUCGAACCUGACGCUGAUGCGAAAG